AAAGUGGCGAACGGCUGAGUAACACGUGGGCAACCUGCCCUUUGCACUGGGAUAGCCUCGGGAAACCGAGGUUAAUACCGGAUACUCCAUAUUUGUCGCAUGGCGAAUAUGGGAAAGCUCCGGCGGCAAAGGAUGGGCCCGCGGCCUGUUAGCUAGUUGGUGGGGUAGUGGCCUACCAAGGCAAUGAUGGGUAGCCGGGUUGAGAGACCGACCGGCCAGAUUGGGACUGAGACACGGCCCAGACUCCUACGGGAGGCAGCAGUC
rnacentral:rRNA from 1 species